rnacentral:lncRNA from 1 species
CUAGGACCCGCCUAGGGAGGUCACUCAGAAGGGCUGUGUCCUGGUAGGAGACCCGCCCAGCCUGGGCCUCUCAGCGCUCCAGCCACACUUGGUACCACUAGUCCCAGGGAGGGCCCUGCGGGCGUGGUUGCCCUGAUGGGAGGGAGACACGUGAGUCCACAGGACCCUGGGGGAUCCCACUUCUGUUCUGGGGAGGUGGGAAAGGUCAGAGGUCCUGGUGCUGAUGUGAUCCCGAUGGGCCCCAAAGAAACUUAUUGAGGAAGGGCUCUUACUGGACAAGGGCAGACCAGAGUGCACGAGGCUCUUUCCUCUCAUGAUCAUGAGAAAAGGGUAAAGAAAGAGAACCAAGGGGGCCUUAAUUUUUUACCAAUACUCUUAGACAACUUCAUAGGGGGAACCUAAAGACAGUGCUGUGUAAUUGCUGUCAUCUGACUGCUAAUGACAUUGGGCGAUGUGUCCUCGCGUCCCUGCCAUCACAGGGGGCCUGUACAGCACUGGGGACCACCCUGGAGGUGGCAGGAGGCCGAGGUUGCCCAUGGCCACCAGGGGGCGUUCCAGCACCACUGAAGGAGUUCCCUGCUGUUGGCUGUCCUGCAGACUGAACGGUCAGGGCUCUGCUAAAGAGCAGACCAAGCCCACUGAUAGAAGAGACCCUGGGAAAUAAGUGGGAAGAUUCUAGGGUGCCCUCUAUCUGCUUGCCUGCUUCCCUGUGGUUGGCCUCCCAGUGCUAGGAUUUAUUCAGUGCAUCUUUGACUCAUUCCCAUCCAGAAUCCUUCCAUGGUCUCUCCAGGCCGGGAUGGAUCUGGUGCAAUCCAGCCCCCUUUUCUCCUCCCCCACUGGGCAGGUGAGGCUCAGCGGUGCCCUAAAAUCACCUGGGGAGCAACAGGAGGAACACUUGCACCUGCAUCUCGUCCAAUCUUCCUAAAGAGAUGAGUCUGUGCUGGGAUUUUAAACCGUCCCAGGUGAGCUUAGAAUUUAGCAAAGGUUGAGAAGCCAUGUGAGGACAGGGGCUGCCUCUGUAGGGUCCCCGGUGCUGGUACAAUGCCUGGCACAGGCAUGUGCCAACCAAGGGACAGAAGCUGUUGUUUUGCCCACAGUCCUAAAGGAACUUGUUAUGGUUUGGAUGUGAUGUGUCCCCAAAAGCUCACAUGUGAGACAAUGCAAGAGGUCUGCAGGAGGAAUCACUGGGGUAUAGCCUUAAUCUAAUCAGUGGAUCAGUCCCUGGUGGGGGACUGAGUGGUAACUGGAGGCAGGUGGGUGUGGCUGGAGGGAGUGGUUCACUGGGGACGUGGCUUUGGGUAUAUAUUUUCUAUCUGGAGAGUGCAGUCUCUCUCUCUGCUUUCUGAUCACCAUGUGAGCUACUUCCCUGUGCCACCCUCUUCCUCUGUGUUCACCCUCACCUUGAGCCCCGAGGAAUGGAGCUGGCCUCUGUGGACUGAGACCUCUGAAACAUGAGCCCUAAAAUAAACCUUUCCUCCUCCACAGUUGCUCUGGUUGGGUCUUUCAGUCGCAGCAGGGAAAAGCCUGACUCAAACAGAACAGCUGGCUUUCCUGAGAACAGCCCCCUAGAGCCGGCAGGCGCCAUGGCAGCCUUGCCC